rnacentral:rRNA from 1 species
UACGUAGGGGGCAAGCGUUGUCCGGAUUUAUUGGGCGUAAAGAGCGUGUAGGCGGUUUGGUAGGUCCGCUGGGAAAACUCGAGGCUCAACCUCGAGACGCCGGUGGAAACCAUCAGGCUAGAGUCCGGAAGAGGAGAGUGGAAUUCCUGGUGUAGCGGUGAAAUGCGCAGAUAUCAGGAAGAACACCCGUGGCUAAGGCGGCUCUCUAGUACGGUACUGACGCUGAGACGCGAAAGCGUGGGGAGCGAACGGG